rnacentral:rRNA from 1 species
GAAUGCAACCAUACAAGCAUUAAUGCAUUGGAUCCAAACAGAACUCUGCAGCUAAAAGUGAUUCGGGUGGAGUAUUAUGGAAUGGACGACCUCCCAAGAAGUUCUAGUGUUGCACCCU